rnacentral:tRNA from 1 species
GGGACCUUAAGUUAAAUAUAGACUGUCGGCCUUCAAAGCCGGGAGAGUAGCAUACAUUGGUUACAGGUUUCGC